UGCACGGUGGCGCAGUUGGUAGCACCCAGGAAGGUCCUGGGUUCGAUUCCCAGCCGGGGGUCUUUCUGCAU